GCUGCGUUGGCCGAGUGGUUAAGGCGUUGGACUCGAAAUCCAAUAGGGUAUUCCCGCGUAGGUUCGAAUCCUGAUCGCAGCG
rnacentral:tRNA from 1 species